rnacentral:rRNA from 1 species
GUGGGUAGCGGUGAAAUUCCAAUCGAGCCCGGAGAUAGCUGGUUCUCCCCGAAAUAGCUUUAGGGCUAGCCUCAAGGUGAGAGAUACGGAGGUAGAGCACUGAAUGUCCUAGGGGGUAUUGCACCUACCGAAGACUAUCAAACUCCGAAUGCCGUCAUCUUAUACUUGGGAGUCAGACUGUGGGUGAUAAGAUUCAUAGUCGAAAGGGCAACAGCCCAGAUCGUCAGCUAAGGUCCCUAAAUGUAAGUUAAGUGGUAAAGGAUGUGGGAUUGCACAGACAACCAGGAUGUUGGCUUAGAAGCAGCCACUCAUUCAAAGAGUGCGUAAUAGCUCACUGGUCGAGUGAUCCUGCGCCGAAGAUUUCCGGGGCUAAAACUUACUACCGAAGCUACGGCAUCAGUAAUGAUGGGUAGGGGAGCUUCCCAUACGGGUUGAAGCAUGACCGUAAGGACAUGGGGACAGUAUGGGAGUGAGAAUGUUGGCAUGAGUAGCGAGAUGUGGGUGAGAAUCCCACAGGCCGUAAACCCAAGGUUUCCAGGGGAAGGUUCGUCCGCCCUGGGUUAGUCGGGACCUAAGCUGAGGCCGAAAGGCGUAGGUGAUGGACAACAGGUUGAUAUUCCUGUACUACCGAUAACCGUUUGAGAGAAGGGAUGACACAGUAGGAUAAGCUAAGCACACUGUUGGUUAUGUGUGCCCAAGCAUUGAGGCAGUCAAAGUAGGUAAAUCCGCUUUGAUAAUGCUGGGAUGUGAUGGGGAGCGAAAUUUAGUAGCGAAGUAGCUGAUUUCACACUGUCAAGAAAAGUCUCUAUCGAGGUUAAAGGUACCCGUACCGCAAACCGACACAGGUGGGUGAGGAGAGUAUCCUAAGGCCAGCGAGAGAACUGUUGUUAAGGAACUCGGCAAAAUGACCCCGUAACUUAGGGAUAAGGGGUGCCACCAUCAGGUGGCCGCAGAGAAUAGGCCCAAGCGACUGUUUACCAAAAACAUAGGUUUCUGCUAAGUCGCAAGACGAUGUAUAGG